AUGAUCCGGCGUUUUCUUCCAAAACUCAAAACGCCGGAUUAUCUAGCGCCACUAAAUGGUAUUUGGGGCCAUCUUUUUCAAGAUUGGUAUUUUGGGCAUUUUUCUUAAUUUUUGUGACAUUGGGGACCGUCUUUCGAAAACUUUCUGGGUAUCUACCAAGAUAUUAAUAUUAAGAUCUAGCAAGAUCUUUAGUAUUUAUCUUUCAGUCACCUCCGUCACAGGCCAGAGGCUACACUGCAGGGGCUACGGCAGAGAGGGAUGAUGAUGGGUGGUGCUUUGCUAUUAAUUUUGAUUGGAGACCUAUUAAUUCAGAUAUCAAAUUGUUUAAAGAAGGAGGAGACUAAAAAGCUGCGGGAAGAUCAUGACCAACUGAGUAAUAAACUCGAAGAGUUUAUCAAGUUGGAGAAGAAGAGGCAGAAGCGAGAGAAGAAGGCCAGGAGAGCGGAACAUGAAGAAUUUACCAAGGCAAACUUGGAGGCUAUGAAAGAAUUGAAGAAAAUGAUGGGUGACCGGUUGAAUGACGUGGAGAAAUAUGGUUAAAUGAUUGCUGGAAUGUUGUGUUGAAAAACUAAGUUAGUAUAUGAAUGUUCUGAUGGCUCGGCCAAUGUUCUGAUGUCUAUGCAGUAUUAUGUAUGUUAGCCUGUUCUUAGUAGUA